rnacentral:lncRNA from 1 species
UUCUUCUGUACUACUCGAAGAAGGUAAAUAGUCUUUUAUGUUAUUCAUUUUUCUUUUGAAUGCAAUCGGUUAGUUAAAACAUCAAACCUGUCAUUCUUUCUAGAUUUCUGAUGUGUUAUUUUUUCAGCAUAACACAUUGGACUUUCUAUAGAUUUCAUGCUUUAUGCAAAUUAGCUGACCUAGGAAAUUUUUGUGAAGUGAUGCGAGCAUGAAGAAGGCCUUAGAAAAGAUGCAUCUUGUUGAUGAGGUAAAGGAGGAGGAGGAGGUUGUGGUGGUCGGGGAUGGCACGCCGAAGGCUGAUGCUGGCCGAGAUGAACGAGAUGUUGGCCAAGAAGAGGCAUAUUUAGCAGUGGUGGUUGAUCCAUUGUGCGCCAAAAAAUUAGCAAAUCCAUCAGCAAACGGGAUUAUGCGGUUUGAGUCUACGGUACACUUAUUUGCAACCUUCUGUUUUUCUGCUGCUGUUUGGGGAUUUUUUUCUGAUGAAAUUCAAUUACCUACGACCAAGCUAUGGCACUCAUUC